rnacentral:rRNA from 1 species
AACGAACGCUGGCGGCAGGCUUAACACAUGCAAGUCGAACGCAUCCUUCGGGGUGAGUGGCAGACGGGUGAGUAACGCGUAGGAACGUGCCCUUCAGUUCGGGAUAACCCAGGGAAACUUGGGCUAAUACCGGAUACGUGCGAGAGCAGAAAGAUUUAUCGCUGAAGGAUCGGCCCGCGUCUGAUUAGCUAGUUGGUGGGGUAAUGGCCCACCAAGGCGACGAACAGUAGGUGGUCUGAGAGGAUGAUCAGCCACAUUGGGACUGAGACACGGCCCAAACUCAUACGGGAGGCAGCAGUGGGGAAUAUUGGACAAUGGGCGCAAGCAUGAUCCAGCCAUGCCGCGUGAGUGAUGAAGGCCUUAGGGUUGUAAAGCUCUUUCGUCCGGGACGAUAAUGACGGUACCGGAAGAAGAAGCCCCGGCUAACUUCGUGCCAGCCGCCGCCGUAA